GACGAACGCUGGCGGCGUGCCUAAUACAUGCAAGUUGAGCGCUGAAGGUUGGUACUUGUACCGACUGGAUGAGCAGCUAACGGGUGAGUAACGCGUGGGGAAUCUGCCUUUGAGCGGGGGACAACAUUUGGAAACGAAUGCUAAUACCGCAUAAAAACUUUAAACACAAGUUUUAAGUUUGAAAGAUGCAAUUGCAUCACUCAAAGAUGAUCCCGCGUUGUAUUAGCUAGUUGGUGAGGUAAAGGCUCACCAAGGCGAUGAUACAUAGCCGACCUGAGAGGGUGAUCGGCCACAUUGGGACUGAGACACGGCCCAAACUCCUACGGGAGGCAGCAGUAGGGAAUCUUCGGCAAUGGACGAAAGUCUGACCGAGCAACGCCGCGUGAGUGAAGAAGGUUUUCGGAUCGUAAAACUCUGUUGGUAGAGAAGAACGUUGGUGAGAGUGGAAAGCUCAUCAAGUGACGGUAACUACCCAGAAAGGGACGGCUAACUACGUG
rnacentral:rRNA from 1 species